rnacentral:rRNA from 1 species
UAAAAUUGUUGCAGUUAAAAAGCUCGUAGUUGAAUUUCUGCUGCUCCGCAUUUUCCCUUUGAGGGGUUUUUGCGCUGUGGCUUAUUUCGGACUGUGUUUUGCACUGUCCGGAUGUUUACUUUGAGAAAAUUAGAGUGCUCAAAGCAGGCUUUUGCCUUGAAUAGUUUAGCAUGGAAUAAUAAAGUAGGACUUUGGUUCUAUUUUGUUGGUUUUAGGUACCAAAGUAAUGGUUAAUAGGAACAGUUGGGGGCAUUCGUAUUUAACUGUCAGAGGUGAAAUUCUUAGAUUUGUUAAAGACGAACUACUGCGAAAGCAUUUGCCAAGGAUGUUUUCAUUAAUCAAGAACGAAAGUUAGGGGAUCGAAGACGAUCAGAUACCGUCGUAGUCCUAACCAUAAACUAUGCCGACUAGAGAUUG